AUGUCCACUAUCCAGAACCUCCACUCUUUCGACCCCUUUGCUUAUGCAAGUAAGGGUGAUGACCUGCUUCCUGCUGGCACUGAGGAUUAUAGCCAUAUAAGAAUUCAACAGAGAAACGGCAGAAGACCCUUACUACUGUCCAAGGGAUGAUUACGAUAAAAAGAAACUAGUGAAGGCGUUUAAGAAGAAGUUUGCCUGCAAUGGUACUGUAAUUGAGCAUCCAGAAUAUGGAGAAGUAAUUCAGCUACAGGGUGACCAACGCAAGAACAUAUGCCAGUUCCUCGUAGAGAUUGGACUGGCUAAGGACUGUCAGCUGAAGAUUCAUGGGUUUUAAGUGCUUGUGGCUCACUGAAGCUUAAGUGAGGAUUUCCUUGCAAUGAGUAGAAUGUCCCUUCUGUCCCUUGUCACAAGUUUAAAAACCUCACAGCUUGUAUAAUGUAACCAUUUGGGGUCUGCUUUUAACUUGGACUAGUGUAACUCCUUCAUGCAAUAAACUGAAAAGAGCCAUAAAAAA